rnacentral:rRNA from 1 species
UACGGAGGAUGCAAGCGUUAUCCGGAAUGAUUGGGCGUAAAGCGUCCGCAGGUGGCUGUGUAAGUCUGCUGUCAAAGAGCGAAGCUCAACUUCGUAAAGGCAGUGGAAACUACACGGCUAGAGUGCGUUCGGGGCAGAGGGAAUUCCUGGUGUAGCGGUGAAAUGCGUAGAGAUCAGGAAGAACACCGGUGGCGAAGGCGCUCUGCUAGGCCGCAACUGACACUGAGGGACGAAAGCGUGGGGAGCGAACAGG